rnacentral:SRP_RNA from 1 species
CCGGCAAAUCAAUACGACCAGCUCCUGUUGAAUCCCCCAGGUCCGGAAGGGAGCAAGGGUAAAUGGUUGAGCGGUGCGAUAUUUGAUUUGCCUUUUU